UAUAAUGUUUUAUUUCUUGGGGAAAGAAGAUCUAAUGCAAAUAUGAUAUAAUGUCAGUAUUUGAAAAAGGCAAGUGAUAAAUACAUUGGUAAUUAUGCUUGUUUUCUGCAUUUUAAAUUAUUUUAUAAUAAAAUACAUUUUAAAAAUAAAGAAAAUCUUUAAAGUGAAUUAGUGGCAAAAAGGGACAGAGGGUGAAUUCUCUUUCAGAAAAUCUUGGCUAUGAAUUAAAGGAAAGAAGUAAGUAUUUGGGAGCAUGUUAUGGAGAGUUUGUUUCUUUGGCUUUUUUAAAAAGACAGCAGAGACUUGAAUAUCUUUUAUUAAAUUGUUGGGAAGAAGCCAGUUGAGGGGGAAAAAAAGGUUGAAAAUACAGAUUUGAACCUUAGAGACUUAGCUCUUACAAAUCUCCCUCAAAAAAAAAAUACAUGUUUUUCUCCCCAUUAGAUUGUCAUCUCCUCAAGGAAGGACAAGGGCUAUUUGUGUUCUGUUUAUCUGCAUGCCCAGAGCCUGCCUCGAACAAGUGCACUAUGGCUGGAUGGAUGAGGAAUGGAUGAAAAGAUGUAGGGCAUCUUUAAGAUGUGUGAUAAUAUCAUCAUAAUGUGUGCAUCAGGAUGGCCACCAGGUGGCAGAUGUGAUAGUCAAUGAUUAUCCUUUCAGAGAAGAGUUCUGAUGCUAGCUCCAAGAAAAUGGACCAGUUAUACCUCCUCUUUUAAGUAAGCUUAUAUAAGUCAACUUAUUCAUUCUUGGAAAAAGAUUUCUUCUUCUUCUUUUUUUUUUUUUUUUGUCUUUUUAGGGCCAUACCCAUUGCAUAUGGAAGUUCCCAAGCUAGGGGUCAAAUAAUUGAAGCUGUAGCUACCGGCCUAUACCACAGCUCACAGCAACACCAGAUCCUUAACCCACUAAGCGAGGCCAGGGGUGGAACCCGAGUCCUCAUGGAUACUAGCCAGGUUCGUUAACCACUGAACCACGAUGGGAACUCCAGAUUUCUUGAUGCUAAAAAAAAAGCAGUUGCAUUGACUUGUGGUUAAGAAAGCAAUUAGCUUGGAGAAGAGACUUGUGGCUGCCUGAUGGGAGGGGGAGGGAGUGGGAGGGAUCGGGAGCUUGGGCUUAUCAGACACAACUUAGAAUAGAUUUACAAGGAGAUCCUGCUGAGUAGCAUUGAGAACUUUGUCUAGAUACUCAUGUUGCAACAGAAGAAAGGCUGGGGGAAAAAUGUAAUUGUAAUGUAUACAUGUAAGGAUAACCUGACCCCCUUGCUGUACAGUG
rnacentral:lncRNA from 1 species